GAAAGUUGUGCUUGUUUUCCGGUACCAUAUUUAGCUCAUUAAUUUAAGUUAAAAUUAAAAUUAAAAUAUUAAUUAUUAAUUUAACACUAAAUUGUAGUCACAAUUAAAAAUAAUAAUAAUUAUUUUUAAUAAAGCAGUCUGAGUUCAAAAAAAAAAUGAUUAAGCAAAGAAAAAAACAAAGAGUUGGUUUUGAAUCGUUUAUUUUGACAAUAAAAUCCUCAAAUUAUUACCUUUCAAUGGUGC
rnacentral:lncRNA from 1 species